rnacentral:rRNA from 1 species
GAUGAACGCUGGCGGCGUGCCUAAUACAUGCAAGUCGAGCGAACGGACGAGAAGCUUGUUCCUCUGAUGUUAGCGGCGGACGGGCGGGUAACACGUGGAUAACCUACUUAUAAUACUGGGAUAACUUCGGGAAACCGCAGCUAAUACUGGCUAAUAUUUUGUACCGCAUGGUUCAAAAGUGAAUGACGGUCUUGCUGUUACUUAUAGAUGGAUCCGCGCUGCAUUAGCAAGUUGGUAAGGUAACGGCUUACCAAGGCAACGAUGCAUAGCCGACCUGAGAGGGUGGACCGCCCAACCGGGACCUGGGCACGGUCCAAACUCCUACGGGAGGCAACAGUAGGGAAUCUUCCGCAAUUGGCGGAAACCUGACGGAGGAACGCCGGCGGAGUGGAAGAAGUCUUCGGAUCGUAAAACUCUGUUAUUAGGGAAAAACAUGUGGGUAAGUAACUGUGCGCAGCUUGACGGGACCUAAUCGGAUAGGCACCGCUUACUAUGGU